UGUUUUUUGUUUGUUUUUUUGGGAAAUACUAGAUACCUUUCAGCUGGCG
rnacentral:sRNA from 1 species